rnacentral:rRNA from 1 species
GCCGCGUGCGGGAUGACGCUUUUCGGAGUGUAAACCGCUGUUCGUGGGGACGAAGCACUGACGGUACCCACGGAGGAAGGCCCGGCUAACUACGUGCCAGCAGCCGCGGUAAUACGUAGGGGUCGAGCGUUGUCCGGAGUUACUGGGCGUAAAGCGCGUGCAGGUGGCUCAUUACGCCCGGCGUGAAAGCCCCCGGCUUAACCGGGGAGGGUCGUCGGGGACGGGUGAGCUUGAGGGUCGCAGGGGCUGGUGGAAUUCCCGGUGUAGUGGUGAAAUGCGUAGAGAUCGGGAGGAACACCCGUGGCGAAGGCGGCCAGCUGGGCGAGCCCUGACACUGAGACGCGAAGGCGUGGGGAGCGAACGGGAUUAGAUACCCCGGUAGUCCACGCAGUAAACGAUGCCGACUAGGCGUGGGGGGACUUGACCCCUUCCGUGCCGAAGCUAACGCAUGAAGUCGGCCGCCUGGGGAGUACGGCCGCAAGGCUAAAACUCAAAGGAAUUGACGG